GAUAAACGCUGGCGGCGUGCAUAACACAUGCAAGUCGAACGAUGAAGAUUAAAAGAUUUCUUCGGAAUGAACUUAAUUGGAUUAGUGGCGGACGGGUGAGUAACGCGUGAGUAACCUGCCUUGUACAAGGGGAUAGCCGUUGGAAACGACGAAUAAUACCCUAUGACAUCAAAUAAUCGCAUGAUAAUUUGAUCAAAGAUUUAUCGGUAUAAGAUGGACUCGCGUCUGAUUAGCUAGUUGGUAGAGUAAAAGCCUACCAAGGCAACGAUCAGUAGCCGGCUUGAGAGAGUGUACGGCCACAUUGGGACUGAGACACGGCCCAGACUCCUACGGGAGGCAGCAGUGGGGAAUUUUGCACAAUGGGGGAAACCCUGAUGCAGCGACGCCGCGUGAUUUAGAAGGCCUUCGGGUUGUAAAAAUCUUUUGUAUGGGAAGAAAAUGACAGUACCAAACGAAUAAGGACCGGCUAAUUACGUG
rnacentral:rRNA from 1 species